GAUUCUUGAUCGCAUCUAAGUCCCCGAGUGUGACGUGAAGUGCACACUCGAAGAAAGUUAAUACUUAGGCGAUUUCUUGAUCGCAGCUAAGUUCCCGAGUGCGACGUUUAGUGCACACUCGAAGAAAGUUACUAGUUAGGCGAUUCUUGAUCGCAGCUAAGUCCCCGAGUGCGACGUUUAGUGCACAGUCGGAGAAGUUAUUACUUAGGUGACUCUUGAUCACAGCUAAGUCCCGGGGUGCGACGUUUAGUGCACACUCGGAGAAAGUUAUUCCGUAGGUGAUUCUUGAUCACAGCUAAGUCCCCGAGUGCGACGUUUAGUGCACACUCGGAGAAAGUUAUUACUUAGGUGAUUCUUGAUCACAGCUAAGUCUCUGAGUGCGACGUUUAGUGCACACUCGGAGAAAGUUAUUACUUAGGUGAUUCUUGAUCACGGCUAAGUCUCCGAGUGCGAAGUUUAGUGCACACUCGGAGAAAGAUAUUCCUUAGGUGAUUCUUGAUCAUAGCUAAGUCCCCGAGUGCGACGUUUAGUGCACACUCGGAGAAAGUUAUUCCUUAGGUGAUUCUUUAUCACAGCUAAGUUCUCGAGUGCGACGUUN
rnacentral:lncRNA from 1 species